AUUGAACGCUGGCGGAAUGCUUUACACAUGCAAGUCGAACGGCAGCACGGGAGCUUGCUCCUGGUGGCGAGUGGCGAACGGGUGAGUAAUAUAUCGGAACGUAUCCAAUAAUGGGGGAUAACCAAUCGAAAGGUUGGCUAAUACCGCAUACGCCCUACGGGGGAAAGCAGGGGAUCUUCGGACCUUGCGUUGAUGGAGCGGCCGAUAUCGGAUUAGCUAGUUGGUGGGGUAAAGGCCUACCAAGGCGACGAUCCGUAGCUGGUCUGAGAGGACGACCAGCCACACUGGAACUGAGACACGGUCCAGACUCCUACGGGAGGCAGCAGUGGGGAAUUUUGGACAAUGGGGGCAACCCUGAUCCAGCCAUUCCGCGUGAGUGAGGAAGGCCUUCGGGUUGUAAAGCUCUUUCGCAAGGGAAGAAACGAUACUGGUGAAUAUCCAGUGUUAAUGACGGUACCUUGAUAAGAAGCACCGGCUAACUACGUGCCAGCCGCCGCGGUAAAAC
rnacentral:rRNA from 1 species